rnacentral:lncRNA from 1 species
CGUUUCAUUUCAUUGUUUGUUUGUCCUAGUAUUUUGCCUUUUUUGGAUUCAUUUGGAUUUUGUUGGCUGUUUUGUGUGUAUUUUUUAAUACUUCUGUUUGUCAUUUGUAAAUUUUAUAAAUUUACCACAAUGCAAAGUGAUUAUUUAAGGAAAUUAUUAAUGGAAACUCCGCAGAUGUUUUAGAAAGAUAUUCAUUGAAGCUGAAAAUAAUUGGAGAUUUAGAUCCAUAUACAUACAAUUCAGUCAUCAGAAUUGGAUUUUACAGUGCAUUCCAUCAAUUACUGUUAUAAUGCUAUUAUAGAUAGACUGGUAGAGUCUCACAGUUACUGCUUUAAGCAGCAGAUGAAAGCAUACAAAAGCCUUCAGGCACAUAAAAGCCUUCACAACUGGAUUUGUUUUGAAACAUUGAUGUUUUGAUGAUUUCUAUAUUAUUGUUGGAAAGGUGAAGCAUUCCCAACAAGCUAAUGCUAAACCGCUAGAUGCUUCGGUGAAUAGCCAGUUCCAAUGGCAUAGCAAAUGCACAUUGUAUGUGUAUGGCCAGUAAUAGUGAAAUUUGCAGCCAUAUUGCAGCAAUCUUAUUUGCAGCUGAGUAUGCCCACAGCAAGACAGAAGAAG